GGAGGUUACAAGAUCUCAUAAACAGCAGCAGAUCUUCUAAUGCAACAGGAAAUUCUACUUCUGGGACUGAAAUGUCCAGCUCUUCGUAUUUAACCCAGUCGUCAUCUAUAUCUUCUAUAGCACUGACCAGUGGAAUUCAUAUCUCAUUGGCUGCCACAGAUUUCACAGAGCCUUCAACAGACCCUUUGCUUACACAGUCUCAUUCUGCUUCAGAAACUGCUUCCAAAGCCAUUGGAAGUAGCCACCAGCCAAUUAACAUCUCAGCUACA